rnacentral:rRNA from 1 species
GAUGAACGCUGACAGAAUGCUUAACACAUGCAAGUCACUGUGUGGCGGACGGGUGAGUAACGCGUAAAGAACUAGCCUCACAUCUAGGGACAACAUUUAGAAAUGAAUGCUUAUACCUGAUUCUGUGAGAGAGCUUUGCGUACCAUUAGCUAGUAGGAGAGUUAAUAGACCACCAAGGCGAUGAUGGGUAGCCGGACUGAGAGGGUGAACGGCCACAGGGGGACUGGGACGCGGCCCUUACGCAUACGGGAGGAAGCAGUGGGGAUUAUUGGACAAUAGACCGAAGUCUGAUCCAGCAAUUCUGUGUGCACGAUGAAGUUUUCGGAAAGUAAAGUGCUUUCAGUUGGGAAGCGGUACCAACAGAAGAAGUGACGGCUAAAUACGUGCCAGCAGCCGCGGUAAUAC